rnacentral:rRNA from 1 species
UACGUAGGGCGCAAGCGUUGUCCGGAAUUAUUGGGCGUAAAGAGCUCGUAGGCGGUUUGUCGCGUCUGCUGUGAAAACCUAAGGCUCAACCUUGGGCUUGCAGUGGGUACGGGCAGACUAGAGUGCGGUAGGGGUGACUGGAAUUCCUGGUGUAGCGGUGGAAUGCGCAGAUAUCAGGAGGAACCCCAGAGGCGAAGGCGGCGUCCUGGCUCACAACUGACGCUCAGACACGACAGCAUGGGGAGCGAACGGG